UUUUGUGUACUGUUUGAGAGUAGCGUUAGUUUGUGAUCCUCCUGUAUUGAAAACUGAUAGACCAGUCUUCAAUUUGAUUGAUUAUUAACGUUUAAAAAUACCUGAAUUUGUAUUACAAAAGUAGUUUGAAAUGUUUUGGCAAAGUUUACAGGUAACUUUUGAGAUAUAGUUUUUUUCUGGAUCAACCGUGCCACAUAAAUGGACAUUUUGGAUAUAUGGACGGAAUUAAUUGAACAAAAGGACCAUUUGUGAUGUUUAUGGGACAUAUUGGAGUGCCAACAAAAGAAGCUUGUCAAAGAUGCACAAUCGAGAGCGUCCUGUCAGGCUGUACCGCCUUCAACCGCAAUUGUUCACCCCAUAAUAGUGGGGUGAACAAGCCGUGGCUCGAGUGGUUGAUGUUCUGCUCCGGCAACUGCUCCGCCCUCAACCGUAAGGCUCUCCAGAGGGUAGUGAGGUCUGCACAACGCAUCACCGGGGGCAAAAUACCUGCCCUCCAGGACACCUACACCACCCGAUGUCACAGAAAGGCCAUAAAGAUCAUCAAGGACAUCAACCACCUGAGCCACUGCCUGUUCACCCCGCUAUCAUCCAGAAGGCGAGGUCCUACAGGGGCAUCAAAGCUGGGACCGAGAGACUGAAAAACAGCUUCUAUCUCAAGGCCAUCAGACUGUUAAACAGCCACCACUAACAUUGAGUGGCUGCUGCCAACACACUGACUCAACUCCAGCCACUUUAAUAAUGGAAAAAAAUGAUAUAAUAAAUGUAUCACUAGCCACUUUACCAUCUACUGCAUCUUGCCAUAAUAAAUGUAUCAUUAGUCACUUUAAACAA